UGGGGAAUAUUGGACAAUGGGGGGAACCCUGAUCCAGCCAUGCCGCGUGUGUGAAGAAGGCCUUAUGGUUGUAAAGCACUUUAAGCGAGGAGGAGGGUACUGGUAUUAAUACUACCAGGUACUGGACGUUACCGACAGAAUAAGCACCGGCUAACUCUGUGCCAGCAGCCGCGGUAAUACAGAGGGUGCGAGCGUUAAUCGGAUUUACUGGGCGUAAAGCGUGCGUAGGCGGCUAAUUGAGUCGGAUGUGAAAUCCCCGAGCUUAACUUGGGAAUUGCAUUCGAUACUGGUUAGCUAGAGUGUGGGAGAGGAUGGUAGAAUUCCAGGUGUAGCGGUGAAAUGCGUAGAGAUCUGGAGGAAUACCGAUGGCGAAGGCAGCCAUCUGGCCUAACACUGACGCUGAGGUACGAAAGCAUGGGGAGCAAACAGG
rnacentral:rRNA from 1 species